rnacentral:rRNA from 1 species
AUUGAACGCUGGCGGCAGGCCUAACACAUGCAAGUCGAGCGGAUGAAGGGAGCUUGCUCCUGGAUUCAGCGGCGGACGGGUGAGUAAUGCCUAGGAAUCUGCCUUGUAGUGGGGGAUAACGUCCGGAAACGGGCGCUAAUACCGCAUACGUCCUGAGGUAGAAAGUGGGGGAUCUUUGGACCUCACGCUAUCAGAUGAGCCUAGGUCGGAUUAGCUAGUUGGUGGGGUAAAGGCCUACCAAGGCGACGAUCCGUAACUGGUCUGAGAGGAUGAUCAGUCACACUGGAACUGAGACACGGUCCAGACUCCUACGGGAGGCAGCAGUGGGGAAUAUUGGACAAUGGGCGAAAGCCUGAUCCAGCCAUGCCGCGUGUGUGAAGAAGGUCUUCGGAUUGUAAAGCACUUUAAGUUGGGAGGAAGGGCAGUAAGUUAAUACCUUGCUGUUUUGACGUUACCAACAGAAUAAGCACCGGCUAACUUCGUG